rnacentral:lncRNA from 1 species
UGUUUUUAAAAAAAUUUUAAGUUAUUAUUUUUAUUUUUGUAUAGAAAUUUUUAUUAUUACUAUUAUUAUGAGUAGAGCUAGAAUGCUUUUAGAAGCACCAAUUCCUUUGUGCUUCUAAGUUUCUAAUCCUUGGAUCUAUUCCUUUAUUACUAAUAAUCUUUGGAUCAAAUACGAUUCCACUUAUCACCACCUACCAUCACCUAUCACCAUCAUCGAGAAUAUUCUAGCUCUACUCCUAUUAUUAUUAUUAUUAUUAUUAUUAUU